CCCCCUCCCCUUGCCCCGGGUCUGGGACUCUUCCACGAGGCCACGACCCCCUCACCUCCUCCCCGUCGAGCCUCGAUCUGGCCAGAUCCAUCAAAUCCACACACGGAUCCGGCCUAACCAUCCCGCCGCUGCAGCGGCAGGUCACCAGGACGGCGGUGGGAAUAGACCUUGACGGCGGCGGGUACCGAGAAUCGCUGUUGCACCAACCGCGCGCAUGACAACGGAGGGCGGGGCUUGACGGAUCACCGCCUCGCUGAUGUGGUCGCUGCCGCUUCUGCCGGAGCAGUGAACUUGUCGCUGGACUAGCGGGUGCUGGGUGAGCCGCGUCGCUUGACUGGGUCAACUCCAAUGGCCCCGGCGUCGGCGGCGAUGAGGAUCCAGACAAUCGGCCCGUGUGGCGGGCGGCGGUGCUCGCAAUGGCAAAGGAGAUGCGUGCGUUCGCGCGCAAGGCCCCCCAGGAAUCAUGUGUACGUGGCCAAGAUGACCACGCGGCUCGCAGCCCCGUCUGGGCCAUCCUCACUACCGUCCUCGCCUUAGAGUUCAGCAUCGGAACUAAAACCUGCUGCUCUGAAGGUGCCAGCGUCGGUGAGGGAAUUUAUCAAUGUGGAAUGCUCAUCACCUCAUAGGGAAGAUCUGAACCAAGUGAAUGCAAGGAUUUUUUUGGCAAUGUCUAGCUCAAUCUCACCUUCGAGAAAAUGUAAUAUUUUUCCUCCGGAGUUAGUCUACACUAUCCAGGUUGUAUGCUACUACUGAGAUCCCAUCAAGGAUGAUCUGAAGCACUCAAAAGAAACGAAGGGCAGAAGGAGCUUCGUUUCUCAUUGAUGUUAUGUGUGAUCAACUAAAAUUUGCCCAUCUCGUCCAAUCUUUGUAGAAAUAUGUUGUUGUGCGCCUGUGCACUUGUUGGGUCUUUUUGCUGUGCACUUGCACUUGAAGCAUUAUUUUGAUGUGCACUUGUGCACUUGUUGGACCUUGGACCUUUCUGUGUAGAGGAGUUAAUGGAUGAUGUAUUGUAUUUCAUGUGAUGUGUUACUGAAAUGAAAUAUACAAUUUAUCUGCAA